UACGUAGGGCGCAAGCGUUAUCCGGAAUUAUUGGGCGUAAAGGGCUCGUAGGCGGUUUGUCGCGUCGGGAGUGAAAUCCACUGGCUUAACUGGUGGCUUGCUUUCGAUACGGGCGGACUGGAGUUCGGCAGGGGAGACUGGAAUUCCUGGUGUAGCGGUGAAAUGCGCAGAUAUCAGGAGGAACACCGGUGGCGAAGGCGGGUCUCUGGGCCGAUACUGACGCUGAGGAGCGAAAGCGUGGGGAGCGAACAGG
rnacentral:rRNA from 1 species